GCGCUCUCCGCCUCGCUCGCACGGGAUUGACGACGCGUCCGGCCAAUAGGGGACGCUCAGUCGGCGGGUGGAUGAACGCGGCCCUCUGUAAUGGCGGAGCGUGGCGGGGACGGGGGGGACGGUGAGCGAUUCAACCCGGGGGAGCUCAGGAUGGCUCAACAGCAGGCCUUGAGGUUCCGAGGCCCGGCUCCCCCACCAAAUGCAGUGAUGCGAGGCCCACCACCUCUUAUGCGACCUCCUCCACCAUUUGGUAUGAUGCGAGGCCCUCCACCACCACCUCGGCCCCCUUUUGGACGCCCUCCUUUUGAUCCUAAUAUGCCGCCAAUGCCUCCUCCAGGAGGGAUUCCUCCACCCAUGGGCCCUCCACACCUCCAGAGACCACCUUUUAUGCCUCCGCCCAUGGGAACCAUGCCUCCUCCGCCGGGUAUGAUGUUUCCACCAGGAAUGCCUCCUGUGACUGCUCCUGGUACUCCAGCACUGCCUCCUACCGAGGAGAUAUGGGUUGAAAAUAAAACUCCAGAUGGGAAGGUUUAUUAUUAUAAUGCUCGGACACGUGAAUCUGCAUGGACCAAACCAGAUGGAGUUAAGGUUAUUCAGCAGUCAGAACUGACACCUAUGCUUGCAGCCCAGGCUCAGGUUCAGGCCCAGGCCCAGGCGCAGGCACAAGCACAAGCUCAAGCGCAGGCCCAGGCCCAGGCCCAGGCCCAGGCUCAGGCCCAGGCUCAGGCACAAGCACAGGCUCAGGCGCAGGCCCAGGUGCAGGCCCAGGUGCAGGCGCAAGUACAAGCACAAGCAGUAGGAGCUUCCACCCCUACAACCAGUAGCCCAGCACCUGCAGUGUCCACUUCAACAUCAUCAUCCACCCCAUCCUCUACCACUUCUACCACAACAACUGCCUCUUCGGUUUCGCAGACAGUAUCAACACCCACAACACAAGAUCAGACCCCAAGUUCCGCUGUUUCAGUUGCCACGCCUACAGUUAGUGUUUCAACUCCUGCUCCUACAGCCACACCUGUGCAAACUGUUCCCCAGCCGCAUCCCCAGACGUUACCUCCUGCUGUUCCUCAUUCAGUACCUCAGCCAGCAGCAGCAAUACCUGCUUUUCCACCAGUAAUGGUACCUCCGUUUCGUGUUCCCCUUCCUGGCAUGCCAAUUCCACUUCCAGGUGUAGCAAUGAUGCAAAUAGUCAGCUGCCCGUAUGUAAAGACAGUCGCUACCACCAAGACCGGUGUAUUGCCAGGCAUGGCCCCUCCUAUCGUACCUAUGAUACACCCCCAGGUUGCUAUUGCAGCUUCCCCUGCUACCUUAGCUGGAGCAACGGCAGUUUCUGAGUGGACUGAAUAUAAAACAGCAGAUGGAAAGACCUAUUACUAUAAUAAUAGAACAUUAGAAUCAACCUGGGAAAAACCCCAAGAACUAAAGGAAAAAGAAAAAUUGGAGGAGAAGAUUAAAGAGCCAAUUAAAGAACCUUCCGAAGAACCUCUGCCAAUGGAGACGGAGGAGGAGGACCCUAAAGAAGAGCCUAUAAAGGAGAUAAAGGAGGAGCCCAAAGAGGAGGAGAUGACUGAAGAAGAAAAGGCUGCCCAGAAGGCAAAGCCAGUAGCUACUACCCCCAUUCCUGGUACUCCAUGGUGUGUUGUUUGGACUGGUGAUGAGCGGGUCUUCUUUUAUAAUCCUACCACCCGUCUUUCUAUGUGGGACCGACCUGAUGAUCUGAUUGGAAGGGCAGAUGUUGACAAAAUUAUUCAGGAGCCUCCUCAUAAAAAAGGAAUGGAAGAAGUGAAGAAACUAAGACACCCAACCCCUACAAUGCUGUCCAUCCAAAAGUGGCAGUUCUCUAUGAGUGCAAUUAAAGAGGAACAAGAAUUAAUGGAAGAACUUAAUGAAGAUGAACCAGUUAAGGCCAAAAAACGGAAGAGAAUGUCAAAGAAGUCCUUUAUGUGGAUUGCCCGAGCUUCUCUAUUUAGGAGAGACGAUAAUAAAGACAUUGAUUCAGAGAAAGAAGCUGCCAUGGAAGCUGAAAUUAAAGCUGCCCGAGAAAGGGCCAUUGUCCCUCUGGAGGCCCGAAUGAAGCAGUUCAAGGACAUGCUGCUAGAGAGAGGGGUGUCUGCUUUUUCAACAUGGGAGAAGGAGUUGCACAAGAUAGUUUUUGAUCCUCGGUACUUACUUCUCAAUCCUAAAGAGAGAAAACAGGUAUUUGAUCAGUAUGUAAAGACAAGGGCAGAGGAAGAACGCAGGGAAAAGAAAAACAAAAUAAUGCAAGCCAAGGAAGAUUUCAAAAAAAUGAUGGAAGAAGCAAAAUUUAAUCCAAGAGCUACUUUUAGUGAAUUUGCAGCCAAGCAUGCUAAAGAUUCAAGAUUCAAAGCCAUCGAAAAGAUGAAAGAUCGAGAAGCCUUAUUUAAUGAAUUUGUGGCAGCUGCAAGGAAGAAAGAGAAAGAAGAUUCGAAGACCAGAGGUGAGAAGAUUAAAUCGGAUUUCUUUGAACUAUUAUCUAAUCAUCACUUGGACAGUCAGUCCAGAUGGAGCAAAGUAAAAGACAAAGUAGAAAGUGAUCCACGUUACAAAGCAGUGGAUAGUUCAUCAAUGAGAGAAGACCUUUUCAAACAGUACAUUGAAAAAAUAGCCAAGAAUUUAGACUCUGAAAAAGAAAAGGAGCUUGAAAGGCAAGCCCGCAUUGAGGCAAGCCUUCGAGAACGAGAGAGAGAGGUUCAGAAGGCUCGUUCAGAACAAACAAAAGAAAUAGAUCGAGAGAGAGAGCAACACAAACGAGAAGAAGCUAUCCAGAAUUUCAAGGCUCUUUUGUCUGACAUGGUACGUUCUUCAGAUGUGUCAUGGUCUGAUACUCGGAGGACUCUGCGGAAAGAUCACCGUUGGGAAUCUGGAUCUUUGUUGGAAAGAGAGGAGAAGGAGAAGCUUUUUAAUGAACACAUUGAAGCACUUACCAAAAAGAAGAGGGAGCACUUUAGGCAACUUCUGGAUGAAACUUCUGCAAUUACCUUAACAUCCACAUGGAAAGAAGUAAAAAAAAUCAUUAAGGAAGAUCCUCGGUGCAUUAAGUUCUCCUCCAGCGACAGGAAAAAACAAAGAGAGUUUGAAGAAUACAUCAGAGACAAAUACAUCACAGCCAAAGCUGACUUCAGGACGCUUUUGAAAGAGACCAAAUUUAUAACCUAUAGUUAAUUUAGUGAAAGAUGUGAAAGUGAAAGCUUGUGAGAGAUGCUGGGAUUGGCAGCCCCGCAGACUGAAGUCCUCUGUUCAUCCACAGAACAGAUCCAAAAAGCUAAUCCAGGAAUCUGAUCAGCACCUGAAAGAUGUAGAAAAAAUUUUGCAGAACGACAAACGGUAUCUAGUACUAGACUGUGUGCCCGAGGAGAGGCGUAAACUGAUUGUGGCAUAUGUGGAUGACCUCGAUCGCCGGGGUCCACCCCCACCUCCCACAGCAUCAGAGCCCACGAGACGAUCAACAAAAUAAUUCUCAGUACUCUUCCACAGGGGUAUCUGAAGUCAGAACGCUUGCAUGAGCCAAUUUUCAGGUUUUUACAUGUAUGUGCAUUAGUCAAACUAUUGCAGAACCAUCUGACGAACAGAAGGAGAAGCAUUCGUGAACAGUUUCUGAACAGAGAACACUUUGGAAAUAAUUUAUGCUUUUCUUUGUGUGGCAUGACUGACAUACAUACUCAAAUAUAGGCUGUCUCUAGUAAAUCUAAAAUCUCGAAGCUAAAAAUCAUCCUUUUAUAAGAGGUGUGGAAGUCAGUGACUUUUGGUGACGUUCUUUCUAGCAGUGUUAAACAUGCAAGACGUAAGAGCAUUUGUGGUUUGAACUUGCAAGAUGCAAAUACCACAGACUCCAAGAAAAACCUAAGUUGGGGUUUGUUUUGUUUUGAUUUUGUUUUUUAAAGCGGGUAAAAGAGAAAACACUGAAAAUUGAAUUCUUAUCUUCCAGAGGCUAAGAUUAUUAUAAUGGACAUACUUUUACCUUUGUCUCUAAAGAACACUUUAGUUUUGUUUGUUCACUUAAUGUGCUUUGAUUAUCCCCUCAGAAUUAUAGGCCAAGUCUUGUUGUUUAGCCUAAGAGAAGAUUUAUUUAGUCAUUUCUUCUCAGGUAUGGAACCACGGUCAUAACUAACAUGUUGGCCAGAAUAGAACUGCUGGCUAAACACGUUUUAUUUACCAUUAAGUGAUCUUUAUCAAUAUUCUGGAUUAGACAACAAAUUACCUUUCUUGGGUGUUCCCUGUAAACUAUACUCCUGUUUGAAUGUUAAACUUUUGUUUCUAAAGUUUAAUUUUAAGAUGUUUGAAUGUUCAGUUUAUGUAUUUGAACUACAAUAAACCAACCCUUUUUAUAUAUGUGGAUUGUAUAUGAUUAUUGUUACAGAAUUUAUAAAAGAAACUUCUUUUAAACCUGUUCUUAGAAGCUAUAGCAAAUUAAUUUGGCACAAAGAAAGUUGACUUUACAUCUUAAAUAUCACAUAAUUUUUAAAGGCUUGCAUAUAAUAAAUUAUUUGCAAUAUAAAAGGGAAGGAAUGUAAAAAACCAUUUUGGUGCUUGGUCUCUUAGCAAUAUCUUACUGCUUCGUGGCAAGAAGAUGCCGAUCUUUUUAUUUCUUUUCUUGUUUUUGUCUUUUAUAUUACCAUAUGGGUGAUUGAUGCCUUCUUGGCACCCUUUCAGUGUGUCCUGCACAUCAUACCCUGACACCCACCUUUGAUCCCCCCACUUAUUUGUAGCUGUAUCUCCCCAGUUUAAAGACUUCUGUGUCUCAUUCCUUCGCAGAUUUCUCAUUUCUCAUUUCAGAUUUCACAUAAAUGCUUAAGAAAAAUAUGUUACAUGUAUAAUUUCUUUUCCCUGUUAGACCGGUUGUGAUCACAACAAAACAAAAUGAUUAAGUGCUGAUAGAUCUGUAUUUGCAUGUCAUGUGCACACAGACACAUCACAUGCAGAUACAGACUCGUCCACACUUAUGUUACUUAGUACUUAGCUUAAGUAUAUUAAGUGCCACAGAAAUUAUGUAUAUAGGAGACUGGAAUUACCUGACUAAGGUCUUAAUCUGUACAACUGAUCAUUAAGAUAUCCACCCUCCCCUCCACCCCACCACCACUUUUUUUGCUUUUUUUUUGAAGGUCAUUUUUAUAAUUCCAUUGAGUGGCUUUUAAGUUCUGUGAGAAAUGAAACUACUGUGUUUGCUAAAAGGAGCACAACUAUUCUAGGAAUAUAUAACUGACCUACAAAAGUGAACUUUCUAAAAUGCUUUAUUUUUCUGAAUUCUACACGAUGUUGUUUGCCCACUAUCUGUUUCUCACAGUUGAAAAGUGUGGAAAAAAAUGGUUUGGUGAUAACUUAUUCUGAUUUCUACUUCUUUUGUAAAGUGUUUGGGAUUGAUUGUUCAUUUAAGGUGCAAAUCAAACUUUACUAUGCAAGAUUCUUUAAAAGAUCAAGUCAAGACUGUGUAUUAGGUUCUUAAUGAAAAGGUCACUGUAAUUACACUGUCUCAGAAUGUCCAUCUUGAUUUGGCACUUACCUGCAAACUCCUUAAAAAUACUUGCUUCAGUUUACCCUGAGACCUCUAUCAGUGUGAAGCUCUGACCUCCCCAGAAAGCCCCAUUGUGCCAAAUGAUGAUUUUGAAAGGAGCGUUCAAGACAAAGACAGCUUUUUAAGUCUCAAAAACUAUCUGAAGUAAAGCAAUUGUUUUUAUUUGUUGAUAAGUUAAAAUGUCAAACACUGGAAGCUUAUAUCCAACAUUUACUAUAUAUAAUGAACAAUCUUCAAAUAGUUCAUCACAGACAAUUUUAAAGGUAAUCCCUUUGUAUAACUAUUGUCUCACCAAACAGUAUUUGGAUAUUUGGGUUAAAUUGUACUUUGUGAUCUUGUGAGCCUUAAAAUAAAAUUUGUAAUGAACCAAGUAAAA